AGAGUUUGAUCCUGGCUCAGAUUGAACGCUGGCGACGUGCUUAACACAUGCAAGUCGUGCGAGAAAGGAGACUUCGGUCUCUGAGUAGAGCGGCGCACGGGUGAGUAACGCGUGGAUGAUCUACCCUUGAGUUCGGGAUAACGGUGCGAAAGCGCCGCUAAUACCGUAUAACAAUCCGUUUCAUCGUGGGUUCAAAGCAGGCCUCUUCAUGAAAGCUUGCGCUUGGGGAUGAGUCCGCGUCCCAUUAGCUUGUUGGCGGGGUAACGGCCCACCAAGGCUACGAUGGGUAGCUGGUCUGAGAGGAUGAUCAGCCACACUGGAACUGAAACACGGUCCAGACUCCUACGGGAGGCAGCAGUGGGGAAUAUUGCGCAAUGGGGGAAACCCUGACGCAGCGACGUCGUGUGAGGGAAGAAGGCCUUCGGG
rnacentral:rRNA from 1 species